AUACGUAGGGGGCGAGCGUUGUCCGGAAUGAUUGGGCGUAAAGGGCGCGUAGGCGGCCGCUUAAGUCUGGAGUGAAAGUCCUGUUUUCAAGAUGGGAAUUGCUUUGGAUACUGGGGGGCUUGAGUGCAGGAGAGGUUAUCGGAAUUCCCGGUGUAGCGGUGAAUUGCAUAGAGCUCGGGAGGAAAACCAGUGGCGAAGGCGGGUAACUGGACUGCAACUGACGCUGAGGCGCGAAAGUGUGGGGAGCAAACAGGAUUAGAUUCCCUGGUGGUCCACACUGUAAACGAUGAAUGCUAGGUGUAAGAGGUAUCGACCCCUUUUGUGCCGGAGUCAACACAAUAAGCAUUCCGCCUGGGGAGUACGGCCGCAAGGUUGAAACUUAAAGGAAUUGACGGGG
rnacentral:rRNA from 1 species